rnacentral:lncRNA from 1 species
GUCUCUCUAAACUAAAACCCAUCCUUCAAAAAAGCACAGAAGUGCUAUUUUUUCAGGUCACAUUUUAUAGCCCCGGGUGUGAGUCAAAAUGUGAUGGAUGCUUACAAGCUGCACCCUUAUGCUCCAAGUGCAGGCACUGGGCUGUAUUUACACACGUGUGAAAGCCAGAAUAUUUCAUGCUUCCAAAAUUGCAGGUAUGUGGGUUCAUGAUGUUUGCGUGUGCAUAACUGUGGCAUUGCGACUGUAUUGUUCAGGAUGCGUGCUGAGUAUUUGCAGGUGUUACAUACAUUUUGCAGAAUAUACUCUCGUCUGUAGAGUUCGGACAUCCACAUUUGAACAGUGGUGGCAAGAUACAUGCACACAUGUUGAGUAUGUGCCAGUAAUAUUUUCAUGCAUUUGUUUUUAGCUUUUGCUUUUGAAUGUGUUUUUAAUGUGAGCGAGCUGGCUGCAGUGUUGUCAGCAGUGUUUAAAAUAACGGAGCGAGACUAAGUCAUAAGACUGGGGAAAAUAAUAGAUUUUUUUUUGGUCCUCUUCCUCUCUUUUCUUUUUUUCUUCCUUAGGCCGUCAGAUUCUUGUUUUCAAUAUGAUCUUUACAACUUUGAUGACAGAAGAGCAACAUUUUCACUGUUAAUUUAUAUUUCUGAUUUUGCAGUGAUCAUUUGUCUGUAAGAGCUGAGGCUUAAGUAAAGACAUGAAUUAAACAGCAGAACUGGCAUUCAAUUAUUCUGUCCGAAUUCUGAAGCUGGUAAAACAUGUUUCUGUUUGCAGAGUAGAUGUCCGGGUGAGUGCUGGUAAUACUGCAUACUCCUAAUCUGUGUUUGCAUGCAUCUGUGGUAGGAUAACUUAAUGUUUAUGUGCUUUAACCAAGUUGUUUCACUGAACGUAUCUUUUAGCCAGAUUAAGGUUUACUUUCCAGUCUAAAUCAACCGUUUAAGCACUUCCUAGUAAGUAGAAAGAAACUUUCAAAGCAUGCAACCCAUUCUGUCCCGAGAUUAAUCUCCUGUGACAGCAGAGGCCUUUUGGACCAGACACCUAUUCAGAAUGGCCAUCUAAUAUUCAGGUACACUGACUGCAUGUGCUCAGGAUAUGUUGUUUGCUUACGGUUUAUAUAUAUGUAGGGGUCCAGAUGGCAAUUCU